GACGAACGCUGGCGGCGUGCUUAACACAUGCAAGUCGAACGGAAAGGCCCUGCUUUUAUGGGGUGCUCGAGUGGCGAACGGGUGAGUAACACGUGAGUAACCUGCCCUUGACUUUGGGAUAACUUCAGGAAACUGGGGCUAAUACCGGAUAGGAGCUCCUGCUGCAUGGUGGGGGUUGGAAAGUUUCGGCGGUUGGGGAUGGACUCGCGGCUUAUCAGCUUGUUGGUGGGGUAGUGGCUUACCAAGGCUUUGACGGGUAGCCGGCCUGAGAGGGUGACCGGCGACAUUGGGACUGAGAUACGGCCCAGACUCCUACGGGAGGCAGCAGUGGGGAAUAUUGCACAAUGGGCGGAAGCCUGAUGCAGCAACGCCGCGUGCGGGAUGACGGCCUUCGGGUUGUAAACCGCUUUCGCCUGUGACGAAGCGUGAGUGACGGUAAUGGGUAAAGAAGCACCGGCUAACUACGUG
rnacentral:rRNA from 1 species